AACGUCAAGUACUCCGGCGUAUUAAACCGAAGCCUUCCUCACUACUGAAAGUGCUUUACAACCCUAAGGCCUUCUUCACACACGCGGCAUGGCUGGAUCAGGGUUGCCCCCAUUGUCCAAUAUUCCC
rnacentral:rRNA from 1 species